rnacentral:rRNA from 1 species
UGCAUAUCAAAAAAGCGGAGGAAAAGAAACCAACAGGGAUUGCCUUAGUAGCGGCGAGUGAAGCGGCAAAAGCUCAAAUUUGAAAUCUGGCUCUUUCAGAGUCCGAGUUGUAAUUUGAAGAAGGUAUCUUUGGGUCUGGCUCUUGUCUAUGUUUCUUGGAACAGAACGUCACAGAGGGUGAGAAUCCCGUGCGAUGAGAUGAUCCAGGCCUAUGUAAAGUUCCUUCGAAGAGUCGAGUUGUUUGGGAAUGCAGCUCUAAGUGGGUGGUAAAUUCCAUCUAAAGCUAAAUAUUGGCGAGAGACCGAUAGCGAACAAGUACAGUGAUGGAAAGAUGAAAAGAACUUUGAAAAGAGAGUGAAAAAGUACGUGAAAUUGUUGAAAGGGAAGGGCUUGAGAUCAGACUUGGUAUUUUGUAUGUUACUUCUUCGGGGGUGGCCUCUACAGUUUAUCGGGCCAGCAUCAGUUUGGGCGGUAGGAGAAUUGCGUUGGAAUGUGGCACGGCUUCGGUUGUGUGUUAUAGCCUUCGUCGAUACUGCCAGCCUAGACUGAGGACUGCGGUUUAUACCUAGGAUGUUGGCAUAAUGAUCUUAAGUCGCCCGUCUUGAAACACGGACCCA